GAUCAACGCUGGCGGCGUGCCUAAUGCAUGCAAGUCGAGCGGGGUGCGGGGUUUCCCGGCACUUACGCGGCGGACGGGUGCGUAACACGUGGGCAACCUGCCCUGGGGUGGGGGAUAGCCGUGGGAAACCGCGGGUAAUUCCGCAUACGUUGGUCGUCCGGCAGGGAGGGCCAAGAAAGGGAGCAAUCCCGCCCGAGGAGGGGGCUGCGGCCGAUUAGCUAGUUGGUGGGGUAAGGGCUUACCAAGGCGANGAUCGGUAGCUGGUCUGAGAGGACGGCCAGCCACACGGGGACUGAGAACGGCCCCGACUCCUACGGGAGGCAGCAGCAAGGAAUCUUCCGCAAUGGGGGCAACCCUGACGGAGCAACGCCGCGUGCGGGAUGACGCGCUUCGGCGUGUAAACCGCUUUUCUGCGGGACGGAAGGGUGGGACGCAAGCUUGCCUUGACGGUACCGGAGGAAGAAGGACCGGCUAACUACGUGCCAGCCGCCGCAAGU
rnacentral:rRNA from 1 species